AUGAAAUUUCUAAGAGGCCCGUCUGAUUAUUCUCAAGAACCACCUCGGCAUCCAAGCCUUAUAAUUAAUUCCCAGGAACCUUUCAAUGCUGAGCCUUCACGCUCUGCCUUAAUUUCCUCCUCUUAUGUGACCCCAGUGGAUUUGUUCUCAAGCGAAAUCAUGGGCCAGUCCCUAUAGUUGAUGACAUUGAAAGGUACCGAGUAUCUAUAUGUGGGUUGGUGGAAAAAUCCAUGGAAUUAUCUAUUGCUGAUAUGAAGAAGCUACCCAAACACAUAGUGACAGCCACUUUACAAUGUGCAGGUAAUAGAAGGACUGCCAUGAGCAAAGUUAAAACCGUGAAAGGUGUUGGCUGCGAUGUUUGUGCCAUUGGAAAUGCCAUUUGGGGUGGGGCGAAACUGGCAGAUGUUCUUGAACUUGUAGGAAUACCUAAUUUGGCUUCUAUCACCCCUUUAGGAGGAAAGCAUGUCGAGUUUAUAAGUGUGGACAAGUGCAAGCAGGAAAAUGAGGGUCCAAAUGAGGCAUCAAUUCCACUCAUUCAGGCAACGACCUCUGAUUCUGAGGUCAUACUCGCGUAUGAGAUGAAUGGAGAGCCUUUAAACAGGGAUCAUGGAUAUCCACUGCGUGUUAUUGUUCCUGGUGUUAUAGGUGCACGUUCUGUUAAAUGGCUGGAUUCCAUUAAUAUAAUUGCUGAAGAAUGCCAGGGUUUUUUUAUGCAAAAGGACUACAAAAUGUCUCCUCCCAAAAUUAAUUGGGAAAAUAUUGAUUGGUCUACUCGAAGGCCGCAAAUGGAUUUCCCAGUUCAGUCUGUAAUUUGUUCUUUGGAGGAUGUCACUAAAGUGAAACCUGGGAAGAUAACAGUUCAUGGAUAUGCAGUAUCUGGAGGUGGGCGAGGGAUUGAGAGAGUGGAUGUAUCGUUUGAUGGUGGCAAGACAUGGGUGGAAGCGUCCAGGUACCAAAAGACAGGAAUUCCCUAUGUUGCUGAUGAUAAAAGCAGUGACAAGUGGGCACGGGUGCUUUUUAAGGCUGAGGCUGAAAUAUCAGAGAAUACUGAGAUAGUUGCUAAAGCAGUUGAUAUUGCUGCAAAUGUUCAGCCCGAAAACGUGGAGUUCAUAUGGAAUUUGAGGGGAAUUCUGAACACCUCAUGGCAUCGGAUCCACAUUCACACAGAACACCCUGACAAUUGAUUUUCCUUCUACACUAUUUGGUGUCACAAAGACAGAAUCCACUCGCAGUCUUUGAUCAGUGUUAUUUGCACGCUAUCAAUAAAUCUGAGCAAUUGAGAGUCAAGUCUAUUUCUCAGAUAGAUUCCCGUGUGUAAGAUUUUGUUGAUGGACGCCAGAGGCAGUUCUAUUUGCUGAGAUUGGUACCUGUAAAGAUCAUAAUUAUGCCCUCUAGUUUUUCCCAAUUUAGGGAUUAAAGUACGUCUGAUCGAUAUGCA